UCUUUGGUAGUAUAGUGGUUAGUAUACCCGCCUGUCAUGUAUAUAUGAAAAUAACUCUGUGUGUGUGCUCGCGGGUGACCGGGGUUCAAUUCCCCGCCAGAGAG